ensembl:lncRNA
UGCUCCCCUUUAUCUGGAAUACCUGCUUUCUCUGUAUUAGAGGACGUUUUUAAACACAUCAAGCACUUUAACCACCACACACACACACACACACACACACACACACACACACACACACACACACACACACACACACACACAUCUCAGAGGCGUGUGUAAUCAAUGAGUUUAUUCAGACAAUCUUCACAGCAGCACGCCGCCGAACAUCUGGAGUUACUGUAAUUCCUCCAACAAGCACGAGAAACAGGAAGCAUGGCCAGAAAACAGUCUCUUCUGGAGGAAACGGCAGACAUGGAGCUCAGGAACCUGAACUCUGCAGCAGAGACAGAUGCUGCAGGACCUCAGACGGCUUCAUCCUCCACCCCCUGGUGUUGCAAGGUGCUCCAAACCGCCCUGAUGGACGGCCGGCGGCAAAACUCAAACUAGUGAACAAACCACAAAAAGCUGAAGCUUACACUUACGGCAUAACCUGACUUCCUGUUUAACAUGUUGAAAAGUCAACAGAAGUUGAGUAACUGCUGCUUCCCGCCGCUCCUCCACUGAUGUGAAUGUCUUCCUGGUCGGCUUCAUCCAAUCAAAGUGACGAUUUCCUCAUCAGGUCAGAGCUGCUCGACAAAUCCUCAUCAGGAAGUUAAAACUCUACAGAGGUGAGUGUUGCUAUGCACGGUGGAUGAAAUGUGCUGGACCAAUCAGACGGGGUCUGCUGCGCCACACACACUCCACUGACCAGCCGCCAGAAAGAGCGUGGUUAUUCACCAGAGCCUGGUCUGAAAGCGGUCCAGGGACCUCCAAAGGUUUCUGUCUACUCUACUCUACUCUACUCUACUCUACUCUACUCUACUCUACUCUACUCGUGACAUCUAAACACUGACUAUUCAGAGCUAAAUAAGGUUUGACUGUAACAAUGAAGCUGCUUUCCUCAUCCUGUCAUCCGAGGCCUCAGCAGGAGUCAGAACCUCCCCUGUCUGAGUUCCUACACUGAAAAAGCCACGCUUCCUUUAGGUGUGGCAGCCAUACGGCUUGUCGGCGUGAAAUCUCAAGUGCCGCUUCAGCUGGAAGGUCAGCUUGAAGGAUUUCCCACAAACGUGACAUUCAACACAGGACUUCCCCGUGCCGGGGUCAGUGUGGCGCUCCGGCUCUGCAGGAUCCUCCACGCAGCCAUGGUUCUGUGGAGAACCCGGCUCCCUCUCCCGGCUCGGACCGGGACCCGGCUCCCUGACCUGGCUUGGACCGGGACCUGGCUCCCUCUCCCGGCUCGGACCCGGACCGGGACCCGGCGGCCUCCUCUGCGCCGGGACCAGCAGGUCAUCACAGAGAAGCUGAAGGUCUGGAAGGAGGAAAGAGCAGCAGCUGAAGGUUCACCUGGUAAAUUCAUCUGGAACCACAAAACCUGCUGAGCCUUCAGAUGAAGAGAAACACAGACACACAUGAAGAUGCGUUUCUGCAGUCUGCACAGGACUGUAGGGAAGGACGGCACUGAAGCGAGCCCUGUGGAGCCGGCUGCCUCUGUGAGGCUCACUUCAGCCCCGGUGCUGGGAUCCACCGUAAACAGCUAAACAUGGAGGAUGCUGUAGGACUCAGAGGCUCUCAUUUUCCCCCGACAGAUAAUUCGCGUGCAUGAUUAAAGGGGCGUGGCUUGGUCGCUCAUGAAAGCAGAGGGAGGGUGGAAAAAAACCUCUCUUUCAAAACUCCGGACACGAGCUUUAAUGGAGAAACUCUGCACCGAUCUGAUGGUCAGUCAAUCCCUGGUUUGUUGUUUCCUUGGCUUAUUGUUGUCUUUCCAUUUUAUUAUGAAAGGUGUUACUUUUGUUUAAUAUGUUUUCUCUGGUGGGAGAACUGAUCCUCCUUAAUGGAAUAAAACGUGUGAAUGUUGUGUGUCUGUCUAAAUGUUUGAUGUUUGUUGGUACUGUUUGUAUUCUAUAAUCUUAAUAAAAAAAACGUGUGUGUGACUGGAGAGGAAUGGGUUUUUUGUGCACAAAGAAAAAUUCUCUGAUCUUUGAAUUGAGCUCGUAAAAACUGGGAGCAGAACAACAGUGUUAGUAUUUGUGCUCCAUCUUGUAGCCUUCACAGAGCUGGGUGUGGAUGGAGCUCUGUCUGGACUGAGUGUGCAGUCUGCAGCUACUUCACGGUCCUCACGUCCAUCGUUUAUGUUUAUGGAUUAAUUUAUAACGGAUGCAACCUCUGUGAAGCUGCUGUCACCGAGUCCCACACCAAGCUGUCUGCAGCCUGUUCAGCAUGGAGGAUGCUGGAGAUGAGAGGAACACCGAGGACCACAACAGAGCGGAUCCGUUUGUUUUGAUGGACGGAGGCGCCAUGGGAAACCUGGCCUGGGCCAGCACUGAGCCUGGACCCGGGUCCGGGUCCGGGCCUGCGUGCGGGUGUUUUUACCGCUAACGUGCAGCCGGAUGUUGGGGUUCCACACCACGUCGAUCAGCCUGCGCUGGCGGUCCAGCUCCGUCUUGUAGCCGUCCACGGUUCGCUCAAACGCGGAGCAGAUAUCAUCAGAAACAGCGGUCAGGCUCCGGAUGAUGGACUGUCUGAGUGCUUCCUUGGAGGGCAGCAUCGUUUCUUUCCACAAGUGGAGAAUUAAUCUGAAUUUGUACCUGGAGAAUUUUCACUGCAGACCCGACCCCGCUCUGCGAGCACUUCCGCUCAAACAGUGCCACUUCCGGUCCCUUCUUCUUCUGUGGUGUUGUACGUUUGUGUCCCAUUGG